rnacentral:lncRNA from 1 species
UUUCCGUGGUUUGGCUUGGAUAUUGGAGGAACCCUGGUCAAGCUGGUUUAUUUUGAACCUAAAGACAUCACUGCUGAAGAAGAAAAGGAGGAAGUGGAGAGUCUGAAAAGCAUUCGGAAGUACCUGACCUCCAAUGUGGCUUAUGGGUCGACAGGAAUUCGGGACGUGCACCUUGAGCUGAAGGACCUGACUCUGUGUGGACGCAAAGAUAGGUGACCUUCAGCUUCGAAAACUGGAUGAACUAGAUUGCUUAAUAAAAGGAAUUUUAUACAUUGACUCAGUUGGAUUCAAUGGACGGUCACAGUGCUAUUAUUUCGAAAACCCUGCUGAUUCUGAAAAAUGUCAGAAAUUACCAUUUGAUUUGAAAAAUCCAUACCCUCUGCUUCUGGUGAACAUCGGCUCAGGGGUUAGCAUCUUAGCCGUGUAUUCCAAGGAUAAUUAUAAGAGGGUCACAGGCACCAGUCUUGGAGGAGGAACUUUCUUUGGUCUCUGCUGUCUUCUUACCGGCUGUAGUACUUUUGAAGAAGCUCUUGAGAUGGCGUCUCGUGGAG